AGAGUUUGAUCAUGGCUCAGGAUAAACGCUGGCGGCGCACAUAAGACAUGCAAGUCGAACGGACUUAACCAUUAGUUUACUAUUGGAGCGGUUAGUGGCGGACUGGUGAGUAACACGUAAGCAACCUGCCUGUUAGAGGGGAACAACAGUUAGAAAUGACUGCUAAUACCGCAUAUGCCUUGAGUAUCGCAUGGUACAAGAGGGAAAGGAGCAAUCCGCUAACAGAUGGGCUUGCGUCUGAUUAGAUAGUUGGUGUGGUAACGGCAUACCAAGGCGACGAUUGGUAGCCGG
rnacentral:rRNA from 1 species